UACGGAGGAUCCGAGCGUUAUCCGGAUUUAUUGGGUUUAAAGGGUGCGCAGGCGGGAGAUUAAGUCGGCGGUGAAAUUUUGCAGCUCAACUGUAAAAGUGCCUUCGAUACUGGUUUCCUUGAGUGUGGAUGAAGUAGGCGGAAUUUGUGGUGUAGCGGUGAAAUGCUUAGAUAUCACGAGGAACUCCGAUUGCGCAGGCAGCUUACUAAACCACUACUGACGCUCAGGCAUGAAGGCGUGGGGAGUCAAACAGGAUUAGAUACCCCCGUA
rnacentral:rRNA from 1 species